rnacentral:rRNA from 2 species
GAUGAACGCUGGCGGCGCGCCUAACACAUGCAAGUCGAACGGUUAAAGCACCUUUUAGGUGUGUAUAAAGUGGCGAACGGCUGAGUAACACGUGGGCAACCUGCCCUCCUCUUGGGGAUAGCCUCGGGAAACCGAGGAUAAUACCCGAUACUUCAAUGUGGCCGCAUGACGACAUUGAGAAAGCUUUUGCGGAGAAGGAUGGGCCCGCGGCCUGUUAGCUUGUUGGUGGGGUAGAGGCCUACCAAGGCAAUGAUGGGUAGCUGGGUUGAGAGACCGACCAGCCAGAUUGGGACUGAGACACGGCCCAGACUCCUACGGGAGGCAGCAGUGGGGAAUCUUGCACAAUGGGCGAAAGCCUGAUGCAGCGACGCCGCGUGCGGGACGAAGGCCUUCGGGUUGUAAACCGCUUUUCAGUAGGG